CCAGACUCCUACGGGAGGCAGCAGUGGGGAAUAUUGCACAAUGGGCGGAAGCCUGAUGCAGCAACGCCGCGUGCGGGAUGACGGCCUUCGGGUUGUAAACCGCUUUCGCCUGUGACGAAGCGUGAGUGACGGUAAUGGGUAAAGAAGCACCGGCUAACUACGUGCCAGCAGCCGCGGUGAUACGUAGGGUGCGAGCGUUGUCCGGAUUUAUUGGGCGUAAAGGGCUCGUAGGUGGUUGAUCGCGUCGGAAGUGUAAUCUUGGGGCUUAACCCUGAGCGUGCUUUCGAUACGGGUUGACUUGAGGAAGGUAGGGGAGAAUGGAAUUCCUGGUGGAGCGGUGGAAUGCGCAGAUAUCAGGAGGAACACCAGUGGCGAAGGCGGUUCUCUGGGCCUUUCCUGACGCUGAGGAGCGAAAGCGUGGGGAGCGAACAGGCUUAGAUACCCUGGUAGUCCACGCUGUAAACGGUGGGUACUAGGUGUGGGGUCCAUUCCACGGGUUCCGUGCCGUAGCUAACGCUUUAAGUACCCC
rnacentral:rRNA from 1 species